rnacentral:rRNA from 1 species
AGCAGCCGCGGUAAUUCCAGCUCCAAUAGCGUAUAUUAAAGUUGUUGCAGUUAAAAAGCUCGUAGUUGAAUUUUAGGCCUGGCCGGGCGGUCCGUCUUUGGCGAGUACUGUCCUGUGUCGGGUCCACCUUCUGGUGAACCAGUAUGUCCUUUAUUGGGUGUGCCGGGGAACCAGGACCAUUACCUUGAAAAAAUUAGAGUGUUUAAAGCAGGCAUUUGCUUGAAUAGAUUAGCAUGGAAUAAUAGAAUAGGACGUUGUGGUUCUAUUUUGUUGGUUUCUAGGACCACCGUAAUGAUUAAUAGGGAUAGUUGGGGGCAUUAGUAUUCAAUUGUCAGAGGUGAAAUUCUUGGAUUUAUUGAAGACUAAACUAUUGACGAAAGCAAUUUUGCCAAAGGGAUGUUUUUCAUUUAAAUCAAAGAACGAAAGUUAGGGGAUCGAAGACGAUCAGAUACCGUCGUAGUCUUAACCAUAAAACUAUGCCGACUAGGAAUCGGGCGACGUUAUUUUCAUGACUCGCUCGGCGCCUUAU